rnacentral:tRNA from 1 species
AAGGCUUUAGCUUAAUAAAAGUAUCUGGGUUGCAUUCAGAUGAUGCAAACGAGAGUUUGCAGGUCUUA